rnacentral:tRNA from 1 species
AGUAAAAUGGCUGAGUUAUAAGCGAUAAAUUGUAAAUUUAUUUACGAAAUAAAAUUUCUUUUACUA